rnacentral:snoRNA from 19 species
GGCGAUGAUGAUCACCACAUUCUGACACCUCUUGUACGAGACUUUGUGGCCAUUGUUCGAUGAACUCAUUAUGCAUAAGACUGAGCC